rnacentral:rRNA from 1 species
CCUACGGGGGGCUGCAGUGGGGAAUAUUGCACAAUGGGGGAAACCCUGAUGCAGCGACGCCGCGUGAGUGAAGAAGUAUUUCGGUACGUACAGCUCUAUCAGCAGGGAAGAAAAUGACGGUACCUGACUAAGAAGCCCCGGCUAACUACGUGCCAGCAGCCGCGGUAAUACGUAGGGGGCAAGCGUUAUCCGGAUUUACUGGGUGUAAAGGGAGCGUAGACGGCAGCGCAAGUCUGGAGUGAAAUCCCAUGGCUUAACCAUGGAACUGCUUUGGAAAAUGUGCAGCUAGAGUGCAGGAGAGGUAAGCGGAAGUCCUGGGGUAGCGGUGAAAUGCGUAGAUAUUAGGAGGAACACCAGUGGCGAAGGCGGCUUACUGGACUGUAACUGACGUUGAGGCUCGAAAGCGUGGGGAGCAAACAGGAUUAGAUACCCGUGUAGUC